GAUGAACGCUGGCGGCGUGCCUAAUACAUGCAAGUCGAGCGAACAGACGAGGAGCUUGCUCCUCUGACGUUAGCGGCGGACGGGUGAGUAACACGUGGAUAACCUACCUAUAAGACUGGGAUAACUUCGGGAAACCGGAGCUAAUACCGGAUAAUAUAUUGAACCGCAUGGUUCAAUAGUGAAAGACGGUUUUGCUGUCACUUAUAGAUGGAUCCGCGCCGCAUUAGCUAGUUGGUAAGGUAACGGCUUACCAAGGCAACGAUGCGUAGCCGACCUGAGAGGCUGAUCGGCCACACUGGAACUGAGACACGGUCCAGACUCCUACGGGAGGCAGCAGUAGGGAAUCUUCCGCAAUGGGCGAAAGCCUUACGGAGCAACGCCGCGUGAGUGAUGAAGGUCUUCGGAUCGUAAAACUCUGUUAUUAGUGAAGAACAAAUGUGUAAGUAACUAUGCACGUCUUGACGGUACCUAAUCAGAAAGCCACGGCUAACUACGUG
rnacentral:rRNA from 1 species